UUAAAGUGGUACGUGAGUUGGGUUCAGAACGUCGUGAGACAGUUUGGUCCCUAUCUGCCGUGGGUGUAGGAGACUUGAGAGGAUCUGCCCUUAGUACGAGAGGACCGGGGUGGACGUACCUCUGGUGGACCUGUUGUGGCGCCAGCCGCAUAGCAGGGUAGCUAAGUACGGUCGGGAUAACCGCUGAAAGCAUCUAAGCGGGAAACCCACCUCAAAACUAGGUCUCCCUUGAGAGCCGUGGUAGACGACCACGUUGAUAGGCCGGAUGUGGAAGCGUGGCGACACGUGAAGCUUACCGGUACUAAUAGCUCGAUCGGCUUGAUCAC
rnacentral:ncRNA from 1 species